GGCCUACCAUGGUGGUAACGGGUAACGGGGUGUUAGGGCACGACACCGGAGAGGGAGCCUGAGAAACGGCUACCACAUCCAAGGAUGGCAGCAGGCGCGCAAAUUACCCAAUCCCGACACGGGGAGGUAGUGACAAUAAAUAACAAUACGGGGUUCUUUAGGAUCUCGUAAUUGGAAUGAGUACAAUUUAAAUCUCUUAACGAGGAACAAUUGGAGGGCAAGUCUGGUGCCAGCAGCCGCGGUAAUUCCAGCUCCAAUAGCGUAUAUUAAAGUUGUUGCAGUUAAAAAGCUCGUAGUUGAAUUUCGGGGUUAGUAGGUUGGUCAUGCCUCCGGUAUGUACUGAUCUCACUGAUUCCUCCUUCCUUAUGAACCGUAAUGCCAUUAAUUUGGUGUUGCGGGGAAUUUGGACUGUUACUUUGAAAAAAUUAGAGUGUCUAAAGCAAGCUAACGCUUGAAUACAUUAGCAUGGAAUAAUGAAAUAGGACGUUCGAUCUUAUUUUGUUGGUUUCUAGGAUUGACGUAAUGAUUAAUAGGGAUAGUUGGGGGCAUUAGUAUUCAAUUGUCAGAGGUGAAAUUCUUGGAUUUAUUGAAGACUAACUACUGCGAAAGCAUUUGCCAAGGAUGUUUUCAUUAAUCAAGAACGAAAGUUAGGGGAUCGAAGACGAUCAGAUACCGUCGUAGUCUUAACCAUAAACUAUGCCGACUAGGGAUCGGAUGAUGUUAAUUUUUUAAUGACUCAUUCGGCGCCUUACGGGAAACCAAAGUGUUUGGGUUC
rnacentral:rRNA from 1 species